rnacentral:rRNA from 1 species
GAAACGACUGCUAAGACUGGAUACGAGAUACCAAGGCUUCUUUUUAUUCUUAAAAGACCUAGCAAUAGGUAUGCUUAUGGAAGAGCUUGCGUCACAUUAGUUAGUUGGUGGGGUAAUGGCCUACCAUGACUAUGGUGUGUAGCCGGGCUGACAGGUCGAACGGCCACAUUGGGACUGAGACACGGCCCAAACUCCUACGGGAGGCACUAGUAAGGAAUUUUCGGCAAUGGAGGAAACUCUGACCGAGCAAUGCCGCGUGAACGAUGAAGUAUUUCGGUACGUAAAGUUCUUUUAUUAGGGAAGAAAAGAUGGUGGAAAAACCAUUAUGACGGCACCUAAUGAAUAAGCCCCGGCUAACUAUGUGCCAGCAGCCGCGGUAAUACAUAGGGGGCAAGCGUUAUCCGGAAUUAUUGGGCGUAAAGGGUGCGUAGGCGGUUAAAUAAGUUUAUGGUCUAAGUGCAACGCUCAGCGUUGUGAUGCUAUAAAAACUGUUUAGCUAGAGUUGGAUAGAGGCAAGUGGAAUUCCGUGUGUAGUGGUAAAAUGCGUAUAUAUACGGAGGAACACCAGAAGCGAAGGCGGCUUGCUGGGUCUUAACUGACGCUGAGGCACGAACGCGUGGGGAGCAAACAGGAUUAGAUACCCUGUUAGUCCACGCCCUAAACGACCAGCACUAAACGUUGGAUAAAACCAGUGUUGAAGUUAACACAUCAAGUACUCCGCCUGAGUAGUACGUACGCAAGUAUGAAGCUUAAAGGAAUUGACGGGACUCCCGCACAAGCGGUGGAUCAUGUUGUUUAAUUCGAAGGUACCCGAAAAACCUCACCAAGGUCUUGAACAUGCUUUUGCAAAGCUGUAGAAAUACAGUGGAGGUUAUCAGAAGCACAGGUGGUGCAUGGUUGUCGUCAGCUCGUGUCGUGAGAUGUUGGGUUAAGUCCCGCAACGAGCGCAACCCUUGUUGUUAAUUGCCAUCAUUAAGUUGGGGACUUUAGCAAGACUGCCAAUGAUAAACUGGAGGAAGGUGGGGACGACGUCAAAUCAUCAUGCCCCUUAUGACCUGGGCUACAAACGUGAUACAAUGGCUGUUACAAAGGGUAGCUAAAGUGUAAGCUUCUGGCGAAUCUCAAAAAAGCAGUCUCAGUUCGGAUUGAAGUCUGCAACUCGACUUCAUGAAGUUGGAAUCGCUUGCCUCCCAAUCACCAGCCGCGGUGAAUACGUUCACGGGGUUUGUACACACCGCCCGUCA